UGGGGAAUAUUGGACAAUGGGCGAAAGCCUGAUCCAGCCAUGCCGCGUGUGUGAAGAAGGUCUUCGGAUUGUAAAGCACUUUAAGUUGGGAGGAAGGGCAGUAAGCGAAUACCUUGCUGUUUUGACGUUACCGACAGAAUAAGCACCGGCUAACUCUGUGCCAGCAGCCGCGGUAAUACAGAGGGUGCAAGCGUUAAUCGGAAUUACUGGGCGUAAAGCGCGCGUAGGUGGUUCGUUAAGUUGAAUGUGAAAGCCCCGGGCUCAACCUGGGAACUGCAUCCAAAACUGGCGAGCUAGGGUAGGGCAGAGGGUGGUGGAAUUUCCUGUGUAGCGGUGAAAUGCGUAGAUAUGGGAAGGAACACCAGUGGCGAAGGCGACCACCUGGGCUCAUACUGACACUGAGGUGCGAAAGCGUGGGGAGCAAACAGG
rnacentral:rRNA from 1 species